GUUGAACGCUGGCGGCAGGCCUAACACAUGCAAGUCGAGCGGUAACAUUUCAAAAGCUUGCUUUUGAAGAUGACGAGCGGCGGACGGGUGAGUAAUGCCUGGGAAUUUGCCCAUUUGUGGGGGAUAACAGUUGGAAACGACUGCUAAUACCGCAUACGCCUACGGGGAAAGGCAGGGAACUUCGGUCCUUGCGCUGAUGGAUAAGCCCAGGUGGGAUUAGCUAGUAGGUGAGGUAAUGGCUCACCUAGGCGACGAUCCCUAGCUGGUCUGAGAGGAUGAUCAGCCACACUGGGACUGAGACACGGCCCAGACUCCUACGGGAGGCAGCAUG
rnacentral:rRNA from 1 species